ACCAGCCUUCCUUGCCCCAGCUCAGUCUCACAGGAAGCUUCCUCCCCCGGAAGCAGUCAGCAAAGAGAGCCCGCAUCUCUGCCUGCGUCCAAACUCCCAGGAGAUCCAGCGCAGGGCAGGCGUUUAAUUGGCUACGGACUGGGGUCCUUACACGAAGAGGAAAAGACACCAUGGUCGAGCACCCACAAGAAAGACCGUGUGAGGACACGGGCAGAAGGAGGCCAUCUGAGAGCCGAAGAGAGGUGUCAGGAGAAAACAAACCUGAAGACACCUCGAUAGCAGACUUCCGGCCUCAAACGGGGAGAAAUCAAUUUCUGUUUCAGGUGUGCAACAUGGCGAUUCAACAACUGUAUACAUUAUUUAGUGCUUGCCACAGUAAGUGUUCUCACCGUCUGUCACUACAUAGCAAUAGCACAAUAUUAUUGACUGUAUUCCCUAUGCUGUACUUGUCAUCUCCGUGACCUAUUUAUUUUAUAACUGGAAGUCUGAACUUAAUCCCUCACCUGUUUCACC